GUCUCGGUGAACCAGGCGGGGGGGCUCAUCUA
rnacentral:rRNA from 1 species